UAUAUAUUUCUUGUAUUAUAUAUUUCUCAAAUUUUAGCAAAUCUUUACAACAGAUGAUAUAAAUAAUUCUAUCCCUUUAUAUGUCUCAACAGGAAAAUCAAUUUUUUUGUUAAUGUUUUUAAAGAGCUUAUAUUCUGAAAUUUCUAUUCCCUUUAAAUAUAUCUUGUACCCUAAAAAGAAAAAAAAAAGAAACAAAAGAUUUUUUUUUUUUUUUUGCUAAAAUAAUUUUAUUUUUGCUGCAUAUAAAAUUUAAACGCGAUCUGUAUUCGAAAAUCGUAUAAAUCGUGUCGGUCAACAUCGACGACAUGAUAAAUGACGAAUCAGGGAUAAUUUAAAACAUUUCAUAUGCAUAUACCGACAAUUGUGCCAUGUGCCUCGGCAAUCAUACAAUUGGCGAAUAUUCAAUUAUAUAAUCGAACUACCGGCGUGUAGUGCCAUGACACUAGGCACGUACGUCGUAUGUCUACAAAAUUUACUGUUUCUCGUUGCUUUAUUGUAAUCGUUGAACAAUAACGGGAGUUGCACGUGCAAUCAUCUUCGCGAACAUAUAUUUAAGAAAAUAACAUUAUGAACUGUGUAUUUCGAUGAUUGGCUUGAGUAUCGACAAUUGCGGUCCACGAUUGUAAUUGAUGCUUAGAAUAAUUAAUUAACCGUCUUUUUGCUCAAGUGAGUUGAACAUAUAUGUGAUAUCAUCAAAUUUAUUUUAUCAAAAUUUUUAUAUUUUUUUAUCGCAUGAUAUAUACAUUUUAAUAUUGACGGAUCGUUUCAGAUUUAGCGACGAUGGUGCAAAAUAUCUACAGAUUAAUCUGCGCGUCUGAUAUUAGAUAGUGCGUCCAAAAUUUUCCGUUGAUGAAUCUCAAAUCGAUGCUUUAAUUGGCCAAGCAUAACAGUAAUUUUCUUUAAGGAAAUUGUGCUUACCAGUGAGCCAAUGGCAGAAUAUUUGGGAUUUUCCGGAAAUAGAUAAAUAUCGAAGAGGAUCCAAAAACCUCUCCAGACGAAAGCAACCAACGUGCCAACAACACCGACGCUAAAGGCACAAUCCAAUUGUAAGAUUGCAAUCUUACAUUGGACAACUCGGUUUGCGGCACACCCCGAGUGAGGUGAGAGAUGAAUACUUACGUUGACGCGGAACAUAGUUUGUACUUCGAAGUAACCCGGACACGAGUCGAGAACAAGCGAAAACGGUG